UAUGUGAUCGUCUCUCGCAUAUCAAUAAGCGGAGGAAAAGAAACUAACAAGGAUUCCCCUAGUAACGGCGAGUGAAGCGGGAAGAGCUCAAAUUUGAAAUCUUAAAGGGUUUCCCUUUACGAAUUGUAGUUUAAAGAAGUGUUUUCUGUUGAGGUUUUGGUAAAAGUUCUUUGGAAUAGGACAUCAUAGAGGGUGAGAAUCCCGUAUUUGACCUUUACUUUCAACUUUGUGAUACACUUUCAAAGAGUCGGAUUGUUUGGGAAUGCAGUCCAAAAUGGGUGGUAAAUUUCAUCUAAAGCUAAAUAUUGGCGAGAGACCGAUAGCGAACAAGUACCGUGAGGGAAAGAUGAAAAGAACUUUGAAAAGAGAGUUAAACAGUACGUGAAAUUGUCAAAAGGGAAGCGUUUGACACCAGUGUUGUUUUUCUGAAAAUCAAUUAAAGAACUGUUUAUGCUAAGUUGUUUAGACUUUAUCAGCUAUCUGCUUAGUUUUGAGCAUUUCUUUAAUGCACUUUCAGUUAACAAGUCAACAUCAAUUUCUUUUGCUGUAAAAAAGCUUGAGGAAGGUGGCUUGAGAUUCGUCUUAAGUGUUUAUAGCCUCUUGCCUAUGCAGUCGGAGAGAUUGAGGUCUGCAGCGUAGAUCCUUCGGGGCUAAAUGCAUUUGUGCUAAGUUAUAGCAUUUUAUAGACAACUUGUUGACUAUGAUUUGUCUUGUAGCUUACUCGCUUAUGUUAUUUUACCUACGCUUAGGAUGUUGAGUAGCGACAUACGCAC
rnacentral:rRNA from 1 species